CGGAGUCUAGCAUGUGCGCGAGUCAUUGGGACAAAACCUAAAGGCGCAAUGAAAGUGAAGGUCCGCCUUGCGCGGCCGAGGGAGGAUGGGCUGCCGCCCCGCACUCCCGGGGCGUCUCGUUCUCAUUGCGAGAAGAGGCGCACCAAGAGCGUACACGCUGGGACCCGAAAGAUGGUGAACUAUGCCUGGUCAGGACGAAGUCAGGGGAAACCCUGAUGGAGGUCCGUAGCGAUUCUGACGUGCAAAUCGAUCGUCGGAACUGGGUAUAGGGGCGAAAGACUAAUCGAACCAUCUAGUAGCUGGUUCCCUCCGAAGUUUCCCUCAGGAUAGCUGGCGCUCGUUGCGUACGAGUUUCAUCCGGUAAAGCGAAUGAUUAGAGGCAUUGGGGUCGAAACGGCCUCAACCUAUUCUCAAACUUUAAAUGGGUGAGAUCUCCGGCUUGCUCGACUCGAAUCAGAGUGCCAAGUGGGCCAUUUUUGGUAAGCAGAACUGGCGCUGUGGGAUGAACCAAACGCCGAGUUAAAGCGCCUAAAUCGACGCUUAUGGGAUACCAUGAAAGGCGUUGGUAACUUAAGACAUCAGGACGGUGGCCAUGGAAGUC
rnacentral:rRNA from 1 species